rnacentral:lncRNA from 1 species
AUGUAUGAUAUUGUUUAUAUGAUCAUUUAGUAUAAAUAUACUCAUUUCCAUCAGGAGAGGAUUUGAUUUGCAAUUUAUAGUGGCUUCUAAUUAGGUAAUACUGAUAUAAUUCUGCAUAAAAAUCAAAUAGAAUAUAGUGUGACUUGUGUGAUAAUACAGAAAGAGGAAAAUCUGCAGGUCUGAAGUUGUCCUUGGCUUUCCGUUUUACAGUGUCCAGAGUAUCUGGUUUGAUGCUGUGUGUUUCACCAUUACUCAACAUGUGGCUUGGGUGACUGCUAGCUGCUCUGCUCAUCAAUGAUGCUUGCUUUUCAAAUAGCCUUUGGGAAACUGACAGGUGAUGACAUACGCUUAUGUUUAUCUUCAGGUCGAUAACUUGAUGACUUUAUUUGUAAAAAACCUCUUUUCAUGUUCAUUCAUUCUGUAAAUAUUCAUCCAGCAUUCACGGUAAGCCAUGCACACUUAGGUUAAGGCCCCCUAACAAAGGCAGCUAAAUAAAUCCAUAUUAGGAUUAAAGCUCUCAAACCUUAGAGAAAAAUGCUAAUUUAGUUGUGAAGACAUGCUGUAACCAAUAUAUUUCAUGUAUGAAUAAAACUUAGGUAAAUAAAAUUAAAAAGGGAGAACUCUGUGUGGACAAAAAGGCAGAGAUGCAGGUGAUGCCGCUACAAGCCCAGGAAUGCCAGAGAUUGCCGGGAAAUGCCAAGAUGCUGGGAAAGAGGCAUGGAGCAGCAUCUCCCUCACAGCCCCCAGAAGGAGCCAGCACCGCAGGCAGCUUGAUCUCAGCCCUCUGUCCUCCAGCCUGGGUAACAACUGGCAGAUUUGUAUGUCGAGUGACAACCAGCACUGGUGAGAAUGUGCGAAGCGGAGGCCCCAGCCGAUCCCCUGGAGACUUGUUUAUGGAUACGCCUCUCUCCAGCUGGCAGCAUCCAUCGAAGUUCUAAACCUCUGUCUCUUUACCUAGCUGUGACAACCCUGGGACUUUAGCCCACAGACGUUGUUUUAUUUUUAAGACUAUUCAUCACAGCACUGGUUGAAAUAACAAGGAACUGGAAACAUCAUUAACAUCCAUGUAGAGAGGAUGGGUGGAGAGAAUGGGGCCAUGUGGACCAGGGAAUACCAAGCGGCUGCUGAGGUGGGCACGGUGGUUUCUGAGUGCCCACAUGGAAAAGACUUCAAGGAAAUGUAUGUGAAAAGCACACUGGCAGUCAGUCUACAUUGAGGAUCUUAUUUUUUUAAAAAUAAAUAUAUCCCAUGUAAAUAUGCAGGCACACAUAUAUGUAAAUAAAUGUGCACGUAAGACAGACUGACAGAGCCUGACAGAUGUGACCAAACCAUGUACUGAUGAUCAGAUUUGGUGGUGGGACAUUCAAAAUAUUUUAUUUUCUCUUUUAAAUAAUACUUACAUAUUUCAUAAUGUUCAUCUGAUCUUUAUAAUUAUGAAAAGAUCAUAUCACAUUAAAUAUCCAUUUCAC